rnacentral:rRNA from 1 species
UUGACCUCGGAUCAGGUAGGAUUACCCGCUGAACUUAAAGCAUAUCAAUAAGCGGAGGAAAAGAAACCAACAGGGAUUGCCCCAGUAACGGCGAGUGAAGGCGGCAACAGCUCAGAUUUGGAAUCUGGCCUUCGGGCCCGAGUUGUAAUCUGGAGAGGAUGCUUCUGGCGCGGUGCCUUCCGAGUUCCCUGGAACGGGACGCCGGAGAGGGUGAGAGCCCCGUACGGUUGGACACCUAGCCUCUGUGAAGCUCCUUCGACGAGUCGAGUAGUUUGGGAAUGCUGCUCAAAAUGGGAGGUAAAUUUCUUCUAAAGCUAAAUAUUGGCCA